AUGACACCUAAAUGUGGCGUCGCGCUGUGUAGAGUUGGAUGUGCAGACGGUGGGUGGACAGUGCAAGGUUGCCCUAGGGAAAGCCUUGUCGACAUCGCCUUCUGUAACGGCGAGCUCUAUGGCCUACACUAUGAAGGGGCACCCGUCAAGUUUGACAUUGGCGUGAACAAGGACGGUGCACCAAUGAUCAUUGGAGAACAUCGGCUAGCCAUGCAAAGGGUCAACCGCACCAAUCAUAAGGACCACUACCACUACAUGGAUUAUGCCGGUUGUUACAUCUUCGAUCUGCAGGGCAAGCUUGCGAUGGCAGCAAUUUAUAGGUGUUUGCCAAACCACAAGCCUUUCUUCAAGGUGUUCAAGCUUGUUGACAUCUGCAUCGACGGAUCGAAGGCACAUUGCAAGCACAAGUGGCUGGAGGUGACAAGCUUGGGUGAGCACGCCUUGUUUUUGGGAAACAAAUUCUCUAAGGCGGUUCACAUGCCAACAAACAUGCAGGGAGAGGUGGAGAGAAAUUGCAUCUGCUACUCGCACCGUUGUCGUCUAGGUUCAUAUGACGUCAUCCCUAGUGACAAGGUAUUCUUGACAAUCUCGAAUGACAUCCCUGAAAAGACGUACUACAAGGAAGAAGACACGAGGAAAGACAUCGCCGUGGCUGACUUAAUGAGGAUCAGGUCGGUAGGAUACUUCAAGAAAGGUGAUUUACAGGGUGGCAUGUGGAUUCUCCCUCCACAUAUAUAG
rnacentral:rRNA from 1 species